GACGGAGGAUGCAAGCGUUAUCCGGAAUUAUUGGGCGUAAAGCGUCCGUAGGCGGUUUCAAAAGUCUGUUGUUAAAGCCCACAGCUCAACUGUGGAUCGGCAAUGGAAACUGUGAGACUAGAGAGUGGUAGGGGUAGAGGGAAUUCCUAGUGUAGCGGUGAAAUGCGUAGAUAUUAGGAAGAACACCAGUGGCGAAGGCGCUCUACUGGGCCAUUACUGACGCUGAUGGACGAAAGCUAGGGGAGCGAAAGGG
rnacentral:rRNA from 1 species